rnacentral:rRNA from 1 species
UACAUAGGGGGCAAGCGUUAUCCGGAAUUAUUGGGUGUAAAGGGUGCGUAGACGGAGAAACAAGUUGGUUGUGAAAUCCCUCGGCUCAACCGAGGAACUGCAACCAAAACUAUUUCCCUUGAGUGUCGGAGAGGAAAGUGGAAUUCCUAGUGUAGCGGUGAAAUGCGUAGAUAUUAGGAGGAACACCAGUGGCGAAGGCGGCCUGCUGGACCGAAACUGACGUUGAGGCUCGAAAGCGUGGGGAGCAAACAGG